rnacentral:siRNA from 1 species
GCAUCCAUUAUGUGCUUCUGAAC